CUGGCCACAAACGUACAUAUGUAUGAAUGGGUUGAAUACGAGAGUAAGAUAGCAUUCGUUUCUUUCGCUUAUUUCUUUUCUGUCGAUUUUUUUCAUCUAUAAUUAACCAUGAUUUAACAUCAGUGCGCAGCGCUAGUAGCGAUAUUAAACCAGUCAAACUGAAAAAGGUUCACAUGUAAUUUAAAGAACCUCGUGAAAUGUGCUGUCUUCUGAUGUUUUUUUGUUAAUCAAAUUUUUAACGGAAUCAAAGUUCAUUAAAAAACUGGUAGGAUCAUCGGAAAUUUUCUUCGAAACAACCUGUACGAUCAAAUCAAGAUGGAAGCUAAUUUGACCGACUUCACGAUCAUAGUGAAUAACUUGCAGAGUCUAAUAGAGAAUUCUACAGAUGAAAACGAAGUGGUACAGUUCUUACUCAAGACCAUAAAAAUCUUGGCAAAAACUACUUUCGCAUUAUACAGAACACAAAUGAAAGAAAAUCGAGAUUUGAAAAUACGGAUCGACGAGAUGGAAUCAAAAAUUGAGAAAUUGCUGUCGGAAAAUCCGAAAAAAUUAUAAACCAUAAAACUUAGCUUGACGAGUAUGGAAUUUGUCAUUUCAAUCCAAGAUUUUUUUCUGCGUUAUCACCUACUAUUUAUACUUGAAUUCAUCGUGCCAUAGAAUGUAUCCUAUUUUAAUAAAAGAAUAAACAGCGUUUAUGCAUCUUGAAA